rnacentral:tRNA from 1 species
UAACUAAAACCAAAUUUGAGGUGUUCUGUUGUUGCCAGAAUAAUUGGUAUAUUUUACCUAGUUA